GAUGAACGCUGGCGGCGUGCCUAAUACAUGCAAGUCGAGCGAACAGACGAGGAGCUUGCUCCUCUGACGUUAGCGGCGGACGGGUGAGUAACACGUGGAUAACCUACCUAUAAGACUGGGAUAACUUCGGGAAACCGGAGCUAAUACCGGAUAAUAUAUUGAACCGCAUGGUUCAAUAGUGAAAGACGGUUUUGCUGUCACUUAUAGAUGGAUCCGCGCCGCAUUAGCUAGUUGGUAAGGUAACGGCUUACCAAGGCAACGAUGCGUAGCCGACCUGAGAGGGUGGUCGGCCACACUGGAACUGAGACACGGCCCAGACUCCUACGGGAGGCAGCAGUCGGGAAUCUUCCGCAAUGGGCGAAAGCCUGACGGAGCAACGCCGCGUGAGUGAUGAAGGUCUUCGGAUCGUAAAGCUCUGUUAUUAGUGAAGAACAAAUGUGUAAGUAACUAUGCACGUCUUGACGGUACCUAAUCAGAAAGCCACGGCUAACUACGUG
rnacentral:rRNA from 1 species